rnacentral:lncRNA from 1 species
ACUCUUUUCCACACAGCGCCGGAAUGUAUGUGUCGUUCCUCUGCAUUUUGUGUCCUUGGAGCCGUAUCUUCGCGGUACCUCCUAGAGCUUCACCGGCAGAGCACCGUGUCAAACUUCUGAAUUUUUGCCAGUCGGAUGGAGGAGAAAUGGCACCUCAGCCUGGCCUCCCUCAGCAUCUCUCUUAUACGAGCAAAGUUAAUGCCUUCUCAUGUAUCCAAGGACCAUUUUUGCAACCUUUUGGGGAAACUGUUUUUCUUGCCCUUUGCUCAUUUUUCUCCAUGAUUUUUGCGCUUUUGUUUCUCGACUUUUAAAAAGUUCCUUGUAUAUGAAAGCCAUUCACCUUUUAUCAGUGAAAGCACGGGCUCAUCAAGAAGCUCUGGUUUUCUCCUGCCCGGACCCUCCCACGGAGCCUGCGGCCAGGAGGAAGUCAGCAGGAAGCAUGUUGGCACAGCCUCGGUGGAAGCGAAAGACCACACGCUGGAAUCCCAAAGCUUCAACUAUUCAUCAGCUGCCCAGUGCGCCAGUGGCGGUUCGGAGUGGCUGUUAGCCUGGCAUUGACGCUAAACCUGGAGCAACAAGGACCGAAAUUCAGCCCAAACGACUGUUGGCACCUCCCCCUCUGAGGUCUCGUGGAAAUUGGAUGAUCAAUUUUUAAGUGGCUUUAAUGAAAUAUUAGUUCCUUCUCCUUUGAAAUCGAUUUCACCAAAGCCAAAGCUUUAGAUCAGGUGAAAUCGCUCUUGGAAUAUGCCAGAGACAGGAUCCACCAACAGGCAGGUCUUCUCCGCCACUGACUGCCGGGAAGUGUCAAAGAACUGGGAGCCAGAGAUGGUUCUAUGGUCUCGGGAGGGAGCAGGGCCCAUGCUUCCCUCACCAGUCCCUGACUCAGGGGGUGGCAGUGAGUGUCAGGGAGUGACUGGCAGCGUCCCGACAGAGUGAAAGAAUGAGCGAAUGAAUACGCACGAAGCCAGCCUGUUAGGCUCCGUCACGGAAAUGCUUGCUUUGCCUC